GACGAACGCUGGCGGCGUGCUUAACACAUGCAAGUCGAACGAAGUGGCGAACGGGUGAGUAACGCGUAAUCAACCUGCCCUUCAGAGGGGGACAACAGUUGGAAACGACUGCUAAUACCGCAUACUGAAGGCGGGGAUUGCGGCUGCUUGGCUAGUUGGAGGGGUAACGGCCCACCAAGGCGAUGAUCAGUAGCCGCUCUGUGAGGAUCAACGGCCACAUUGGGACGGAGACACUGCCCAGACUCCGACUGGAGGCAGCAUUGGGGAGUCGUCCGCAAUGGACGAAAGUCUGACGGAGCAACGCCGCGUCGGUGAUGACGGCCUUCGGUUUGUAAAGCUCUGUUAAUCGGGACGCGGUACCGGAAUAGAAAGCCACGGCUAACUACGUGCCAGCAGCCGCGGUAAUAC
rnacentral:rRNA from 1 species